UACGGAGGGUGCGAGCGUUGUUCGGAAUCACUGGGCGUAAAGCGCGUGUAGGCGGCUUCUUAAGUCCGAUGUGAAAGCCCGGGGCUCACCCCCGGAAGUGCAUUGGAUACUGGGAAGCUGGAGUACCGGAGAGGAGGGUGGAAUUCCUGGUGUAGCGGUGAAAUGCGUAGAUAUCAGGAGGAACACCUGUGGCGAAGGCGGCCCUCUGGACGGAUACUGACGCUGAGACGCGAAAGCGUGGGGAGCAAACAGG
rnacentral:rRNA from 1 species